CAACUAAGCAAGUGCUCACUACUGAUUUAUUUUCUGGGAGAGAGACAGAGAAACAGAGAAAGACACCAAGCAGGCACACAUUGUUGAGGUCAGAAGACAGCUUUCAAGAGUUGGUCCUUCUUAUCGUCUUCUAAGAUGCUGGUAUAGAAUCCAACUCACCAGGUCUUCAGUCAAGAGCCUCUGUCUACUGAGCUACCUCACUGGUCCUAGAAGUGUGUGUUUUUAUUAGUGAGAAGGGUCGUCUCUGAUAAAAUCAUUGUCUAUGUUGGGAUGCCACUUUGGGAACAUAAAAUCCAAGAGGAGCUGAUACAAAAAGUCUUAGCAAUCCAAGAGAAUUCUCAUAAAUUAUUCAAAUGAGUCCCAUGUAAGACUCUUGGACACUUUGUCACGAUACAGAAGUAAUCAUUACUUGGGUAUCAGACAAAGAAGCAUCUAACUCUUCCUCCUUCUUCCAGUACAUGAAGAUGAUGGGCGUGAACUCCUGCAGCCAUUUCUUUGCCUGGCUUAUAGAGAGUAUCGGAUUCUUACUGGUCACCAUUGCCAUCCUCAUUGUGAUCCUCAAGUUCGGCAAUAUUCUUCCCAAGACAAAUGGCUUCAUUUUGUUCCUGUACUUUUCGGACUACAGCUUCUCAGUGAUUGCCAUGAGCUAUCUCAUCAGUGUCUUCUUCAACAACACCAACAUUGCAGCUCUGAUUGGAAGCCUCAUCUACGUCAUCGCCUUUUUCCCAUUUAUUGUUCUGGUUACGG
rnacentral:lncRNA from 1 species